AGAAGGAGCUGUGUUUCUAGGACUUACUGCGGGAGGAACACAUCCUGGACUCCAAACUGGCACUACAGUGAUGUCUACAUACAAGGAAGUUCCAGGUAACACCUUUUCCAGAAUGACAUUAUCAUGUAAAUGAAGAGUCAUCUUCUGGACUAAGUACAACAGUAUCAGACUCACUGAGGGAAGGAAGGGCACCUAAGAGGUCAUUUAUUGUCAGUGAAAGCCUUCAGAAUUUGAGGUCAAAGCAACAGAGGAUCAGAGAUGCAUGGAGGUGCAUAAGGACUCCUCCAGGUGACUGGAAAAGCACAAGAAGUCUGAGGAGAACUGAAGAAAGGAGG